CAGGCUCGUCGUCUCGCUGCCUCUCCGGCUCCACAGGCUCCGACAGCGGCUGCGUCUCCUCCCACCUCCAGGAGGCGCUGUCUGAGGAGCCGAGCCCCCCUGGCCAGUCCCCCUCUUCCUCCAACAAGCAGCACCUGAGCAGCCAGUACAUUUCAUCAAAAACUGCCGCUGUCAUCGGCCCCGCCACCAUCGUGUGACGGCCCUCACCCGCAGCACUCACCUGUUUGAGUUCUUCCUGCUGCAGUUUGACGUCACUGAUAAAGUUUGAAUGUUUUAUUUAUGUUUGAAGCUUCAGUCGUUUGUUCUGUAAAUACGACGCCAGAGUUUCAGUUUGUGAGCUGAUCCAGGGUCUGAGUGUGUGCGUGUGCUUGAGUGUGAGUGUGUGCGUGAACUGAUCCAGGAUCAGCUGGACUCGUUGUACAUGUGUGUAAAUAAAACCACAGCUGAGCAUCUGCUGUCACUUUUCUUACUUGAAUAAAGCGUUGACACGUUGUCACCUCACGUUCA